rnacentral:tRNA from 1 species
GUCUUUGUAGUAUAUAAAUACCUUGGUCUUGUAAACCAAAAAAGGAGAAUAUACACUCUCCCUAAGACU